AGGCUUAACACAUGCAAGUCGAGGGGCAUCAGGAAGAAAGCUUGCUUUCUUUGCUGGCGACCGGCGCACGGGUGAGUAACACGUAUCCAACCUGCCCUUUACUCGGGGAUAGCCUUUCGAAAGAAAGAUUAAUACCCGAUAGCAUAAUGAUUCCGCAUGGUUUCAUUAUUAAAGGAUUCCGGUAAAGGAUGGGGAUGCGUUCCAUUAGGUUGUUGGUGAGGUAACGGCCCACCAAGCCUUCGAUGGAUAGGGGUUCUGAGAGGAAGGUCCCCCACAUUGGAACUGAGACACGGUCCAAACUCCUACGGGAGGCAGCAGUGAGGAAUAUUGGUCAAUGGGCGCUAGCCUGAACCAGCCAAGUAGCGUGAAGGAUGAAGGCUCUAUGGGUCGUAAACUUCUUUUAUAUAAGAAUAAAGUGCAGUAUGUAUACUGUUUUGUAUGUAUUAUAUGAAUAAGGAUCGGCUAACUCCGUGCCAGCAGCCGCGGUAAUACGGAGGAUCCGAGCGUUAUCCGGAUUUAUUGGGUUUAAAGGGAGCGUAGGUGGACUGGUAAGUCAGUUGUGAAAGUUUGCGGCUCAACCGUAAAAUUGCAGUUGAUACUGUCAGUCUUGAGUACAGUAGAGGUGGGCGGAAUUCGUAGUGUAGCGGUGAAAUGCUUAGAUAUCACGAAGAACUCCGAUUGCGAAGGCAGCUCACUGGACUGCAACUGACACUGAUGCUCGAAAGUGUGGGUAUCAAACAGGAUUAGAUACCCUGGUAGUCCACACAGUAAACGAUGAAUACUCGCUGUUUGCGAUAUACAGUAAGCGGCCAAGCGAAAGCAUUAAGUAUUCCACCUGGGGAGUACGCCGGCAACGGUGAAACUCAAAGGAAUUGACGGGGGCCCGCACAAGCGGAGGAACAUGUGGUUUAAUUCGAUGAUACGCGAGGAACCUUACCCGGGCUUAAAUUGCAGUGGAAUGAUGUGGAAACAUGUCAGUGAGCAAUCACCGCUGUGAAGGUGCUGCAUGGUUGUCGUCAGCUCGUGCCGUGAGGUGUCGGCUUAAGUGCCAUAACGAGCGCAACCCUUAUCUUUAGUUACUAACAGGUUAUGCUGAGGACUCUGGAGAGACUGCCGUCGUAAGAUGUGAGGAAGGUGGGGAUGACGUCAAAUCAGCACGGCCCUUACGUCCGGGGCUACACACGUGUUACAAUGGGGGGUACAGAAGGCAGCUACCUGGUGACAGGAUGCUAAUCCCAAAAGCCUCUCUCAGUUCGGAUCGAAGUCUGCAACCCGACUUCGUGAAGCUGGAUUCGCUAGUAAUCGCGCAUCAGCCACGGCGCGGUGAAUACGUUCCCGGGCCUUGUACACACCGCCCGUCAAGCCAUGGGAGCCGGGGGUACCUGAAGUACGUAACCGCAAGGAUCGCCCUAGGGUAAAACUGGUGACUGGGGCUAAG
rnacentral:rRNA from 1 species